rnacentral:lncRNA from 1 species
AAAAGACUCCAGUCUGGUUGUUUAGCAGAGUCUUAUUAGAGAACAGAAUAUGCGUAAAUUGGAGGAAGAAGAUUCGUGGUUGUGUGCGCAUCUCAGUUAACUUAUUCUGGAAUCUUUGCGUACUGGUUUUGUCUCCCUAUAAAGCAAACUCCCAUUUUUCUACUGAAACCAACCACCUCCUCCUCUUCCCAUUCGCUUGUAUCCCAUCGCUGUGUGUACCAGGUCUUCUUCUCUCCUUUACCUCAAUCUUUUUUCUCUCUUUUUAUGGGGUUCUGCUUUUCAAUUAAUUUGUUCGCUGUGGAACUUGGUUGAUCUGUUUCAUUAAUCAGAAAUCAAGAGCUGAACUUUAUAUGGAAUUUAGGGGUAAACUGUAAAAUCGGAUAAUAUUAUUCUGAUGGUUGUAGAUUUUUUCAUCUUGAUUAUGUGUUUUUUGGUAAAGCAGACUCCCGUUUUCUACUGAAACCAACCACCUCCUCUUCUUCCCAUUCGCUUGUAUCCCAUUGCUGUGUGUACCAGGUCUUCUUCUCUCCUUUACCUCAAUCUUUUUUCUCUCUCUUUUUAUGGGGUUCUGCUUUUCAAUUAAUUUGUUCGCUAUGGAACUUGGUUGAUCUGUUUCAUUAAUCAGAAAUCAAGAGCUGAACUUUAUAUGGAAUUUUGGGGUAAACUGUAAAAUCGGAUAAUAUUAUUCCGAUGGUUGUAGAUUUUUUCAUCUUGAUUAUGUGUUUUUUUGGUAAAGUAUGUGAUUUUAUUUUGGUGUUUGUUGGUUGGGAAUACGCUAUAUCCCAAGAAUCAAAUUAUCCGAGAUUAGAUGGUUUUCUCUUAGGGACAGUCUAGUUAUUUGAAUUGACGAUUCCGGAUUCAGAUACUUUUCAGUUAUUACUUGAUUUAUGGACAAUUAAAGGCUGCUAUAUUGUCAGCACAAGGACAAUGCAUACUGGAA